rnacentral:tRNA from 1 species
GGUAUGUAGCUCAGUGGUAGAGUUCUUACCUGGCAUGUUGAGGCCCUGGGUUCCAUCCCCAGCACCA